rnacentral:rRNA from 1 species
GACGAACGCUGGCGGCGUGCCUAAUACAUGCAAGUAGGACGCAGUUGCGAACGGGUGAGUAACGCGUAGGUAACUACCUAUUAGAGGGGGAUAACUAUUGGAAACGAUAGCUAAUACCGCAUACUAGUAGAUGGACCUGCGUUGUAUUAGCUAGUAGGUAGGGUAAUGGCCUACCUAGGCAACGAUACAUAGCCGACCGUGGAGGGUGAUCGGCCACACUGGGACUGAGACACGGCCCAGACUCCUACGGGAGGCAGCAGUAGGGAAUCUUCGGCAAUGGGGGGAACCCUGACCGAGCAACGCCGCGUGAGUGAAGAAGGUUUUCGGAUCGUAAAGCUCUGUUAUUCAGGAAGCGGUACCUAACCAGAAAGCCACGGCUAACUACGUGCCAGCAGCCGCGGUAAUAC